rnacentral:rRNA from 1 species
AUUGAACGCUGGCGGAAUGCUUUACACAUGCAAGUCGAACGGUAGAGGGGGCAACCCCUUGAGAGUGGCGAACGGGUGAGUAAUAUAUCGGAACGUGCCCAGUCGUGGGGGAUGACGUAGCGAAAGUUACGCUAAUACCGCAUACGAUCUAAGGAUGAAAGCGGGGGAUCGCACGACCUCGCGCGACUGGAGCGGCCGAUAUCAGAUUAGGUAGUUGGUAGGGUAAAGGCCUACCAAGCCAACGAUCUGUAGCUGGUCUGAGAGGACGACCAGCCACACUGGAACUGAGACACGGUCCAGACUCCUACGGGAGGCAGCAGUGGGGAAUUUUGGACAAUGGGCGAAAGCCUGAUCCAGCCAUUCCGCGUGCAGGAUGAAGGCCCUCGGGUUGUAAACUGCUUUUGUACAGAACGAAAAGGUUUCUAUUAAUACUAGGAGCUCAUGACGGUACUGUAAGAAUAAGCACCGGCUAACUACGUG